rnacentral:lncRNA from 1 species
GGUUUAUUUAUAAGAGAACUCUUCACAGAAGUAAAUCAUGUAGAAAUAUAAGAACACAUGGGAACAAAGAUGAAUACACGCCUAUUUGAUGGCUUUCAAGUUUGACUUGGGGAGUUUCACCCCAUCAGAUAGUUUGAGGAAUGUGAGUUUUGAAAGAACAUGUCAGUGCACUUUUAUGUUUUAAUAUAAGGGAUUAGAUCUAGUUCCCAAACGAAUGGAUUGGAAGUCACAAGAAAUAGGUAAGAGCAGAAGAGUGGAUCCUAGAUGUUCUCACCAAGUGGGAAAGUCAGAGGGAGGUUUUCCCAGUGUGUUGUGAACCUUUGUGUUCCAACAAGAGUUACAUUGUCUCUGAUACAGUUCAGCUGGAGGAAAGGGACACUCUGCUCAGUUCUCCUGAAAGCAGUUAUUCAGAUUGAGCCUUAGAGCUGAGGACGCUGCCGUCAUGCUGGGGAGACAAUGGGACCACUUUCUUCUGGUCUGCGUUGUUGUCGUCUGUUGACUUGUUGUUGUUGUGUGUACAGCUUCACUCUCAGCGCUGAACUGUCCAGGAUUGCUCAUGAAGGGGAACAUUCCUCAGGGCUUAUGAACAUGUCUUUUUUGGCCUUUAAAUUCUCCUUGGAAUUUUAUUCUCAACCCCUUCCAAGGCCUUUUCUGCUCCGAGGCCAUCAAUAGAAAUGCCAGACUUUUACUGAGCAGGAGAGGAGGUGAGAUGUUUGUAAAUGGCAGGCUGUUUAGUUUAAUAACAUAACUCAUCUCCAGCAGCCUAGCAUCACGUCAUUACCAUUGGCGUCUCAAGGGCGAGAAUAAUCUGGCAGUUUCAAAGCCUCAUGAUAGCAGUUAUUUCUGAGGUGAACUUAGAAACUUAAAGGUGGCUUUAAGUGCAAGUGAAGAUCUCAGGAGCCUUCACUUCAACAGGUACUGUUGAGAAGUUCGCAGAUGAUACAGAAAGUUAAGGGUCAUGUUUGAGAUGUUAAAAACACCCUGAAGGUUGAUCCUAUCAAAGACGUACUCCUACCCUCUGCCACAUCCUUAGAAUAUUUGAAUAUCCCAGUGUAUCUUAAAUUUCUCAAAACCAUAUCCCUUUUGGUUCCUUUGAAUUAGAAGAGUAGUAGUUUUCACGGGCUGUAUUUUAUUGAUUUCGUGGUGCGUGUCUCCCGCACAUUGUAGUACCUCUGAAAUCAGGAUGCGUCUUAACAAUUGAUGAUACAAAAACAUGUCCUAGUUUAAUUGGGAGCAGUUUUCCUUCCUAGUGAUCCUAGAAAUGGUUGACCUAGUUUACAGUGGAUUGCAUAUUUGAUUCAGUGGAUCAGAGACAACCUGAGGGGAAGGCAAAAUCUUGUGAAAUCAAACCAAUAGUAGAUUACCUCAUCACCAAGGUUAGAAGUCAUCAGCCUUAGGCCACACACAGCUCUGUGCUUAUUGAAAAGAUACAUGUGUUGCUUUUGGUUUAUUAGUUUAAUCCACAAUAUUAUAGUUACAGCUAAUGAGAAUAUAAUACUCUCCACCUAUAUGGUAAUAGAAAGCUGAACAGGCUGCUGAUAAUUGUAAAGACUUUUUAAUGUGAGAUGGAAAUUUAGUGGUGGAAGGUUUGCAACUCUGCUUGCGGUUUUGUACUUGCUGUUCUCUUUAAACCUUCGUUUUAAGAUCGUAAAAAGGAACACUAAGGUCUUUUCCUUCUUGCGCAAAAUGUCGCAAAUGUCAUCGUUUGGGUGUAUCAACAGCUCUGAAGUGUGUGUGCUUCGGAGAGAAAAGAUUCCAUAUAAACAAAUAGUGGAAUGAUGGCCUUUUCUAUGUAGACUUUUCCUACUGUAGCCCAAGGGCAGGAAAGUUGAGUAUUAAGGAUCUUUCUUCCUUGGUGAUAAAUAUGAACUUGGCCACCCUGUGAUCCCCCUUCUGCGGGCUGACAUAGCUAAACUCAUUAACUCUCAAGGCCAGCACCUAAUGGAAUGUUCCAUACCAGAUGCUUCCACUUUUUACAGUGAUUUACUAGGAAUAAAAACCCUCUGAUAGAUUAUUUCACUCUUUUUGGUUAAUGAACCCAACUAGCAUCUAUGAGGACACGGGUUCAAUCCCUGGCCUCGCUCAGUGGGUUAAGGAUCCGACAUUGUGUGAACUGUGGUAUAGGUCGCAGACAUGGCUCGGAUCUGGCAUUGCUGUGGCUCUGGUGCAGGCUGGCAGCAACAGUUCCGAUUUGACCCCCAGCCUGGGAACCUCCAUAUGCCUCGGGUACAGACCCGAAGAGAUAAAAAUAAAAAAUAAAGUAAGUUUUUAGGUUGGAUUUAAACAACUCAAACUGAAGAAUAACAUUCCCAGUGGGAGGAAGGGCAUUAGAAUAUGCACAAGAUAUGUUUUGGAAAAUGAAACCAUUCUGUGUCACCAGAGUGCCAAGGGUGGGGUCGAGGGAAAGGGUGCCAAGGAGGCAGGAGAAGGACGCGUUAGAAAUGAGAUGGGACCAGGCUGCGGAGGAUUUGGGGGGCUGAGACGUUUCACUUCAUCCUAGAAAUAUCAAAGAGCCAUUGACUUAUUCUGUCAGUUUUCAUGAAAAAGGAGGAUGAGGGGGGCCCUUGUGUGAGGUAAAUGAUGUUAGUGCAGUGUGAGGCAGCUCAGUGAUUAAGCAGAGCCAGGCUAAGCAGGAGCUCCAGUCUGACUGCUCCUGGGUGGCACCUUGUCUCAGCAUCAUCACCCAGGAAGCUUGAUAGGACAGGAAGGCAGAAUGACAAGAAUCAGAUGGUCCUGAGAAAGAGGGGUGACCAGGGGGACGGCCCUGGAGGAAAGACAGAACUCCUGAGUAUGGAAGGGAUGCUGGGGGCGA